rnacentral:rRNA from 1 species
GACGUAGGGCGCGAGCGUUGUCCGGAUUUAUUGGGCGUAAAGAGCUCGUAGGCGGCUUGUCGCGUCGACUGUGAAAUCCCGCGGCUCAACUGCGGGUCUGCAGUCGAUACGGGCAGGCUAGAGUUCGGUAGGGGAGACUGGAAUUCCUGGUGUAGCGGUGAAAUGCGCAGAUAUCAGGAGGAACACCGAUGGCGAAGGCAGGUCUCUGGGCCGAUACUGACGCUGAGGAGCGAAAGCGUGGGGAGCGAACAGG